rnacentral:rRNA from 1 species
GACGAACGCUGGCGGCGUGCUUAACACAUGCAAGUCGAGCGGAAAGGCCCUUCGGGGUACUCGAGCGGCGAACGGGUGAGUAACACGUGAGUAAUCUGCCCCUCACUCAGGGAUAACCGCGGGAAGCUGCGGCUAAUACUUGAUAUGACCACGUCUCGCAUGGGGUGUGGUGGAAAGCGUUUAGUGGUGAGGGAUGUGCUCGCGGCCUAUCAGCUUGUUGGUGAGGUAGUGGCCCACCAAGGCUUCGACGGGUAGCCGGCCUGAGAGGGUGACCGGCCACACUGGGACUGAGACACUGCCCAGACUCCUACGGGAGGCAGCAGUGGGGAAUAUUGGACAAUGGGCGAAAGCCUGAUCCAGCAACGCCGCGUGAGGGAUGACGGCCUUCGGGUUGUAAACCUCUUUCACCUCUGACGAAGCGCAAGUGACGGUAAGGGGAGAAGAAGGACCGGCCAACUACGUGCCAGCCGCCGCAGUAAGAC